rnacentral:rRNA from 1 species
UACGUAGGGUCCAAGCGUUGUCCGGAUUUACUGGGCGUAAAGGGCGCGUAGGCGGCACUGUUAGUCAGGCGUGAAAGUCCUGGGCUCAACCUGGGAACUGCGCUUGAUACGGCAGAGCUAGAGGAUGGAAGAGGGUCGCGGAAUUCCCAGUGUAGAGGUGAAAUUCGUAGAUAUUGGGAAGAACCCCGGUGGCGAAGGCGGCGACCUGGUCCAUUACUGACGCUGAGGCGCGACAGCGUGGGGAGCAAACAGG